rnacentral:rRNA from 1 species
UCAUAGAGGGUGAGAAUCCCGUAUUUGACCAUUAUUUUCAGCUGUGUGAUACACUUUCAAAGAGUCGGAUUGUUUGGGAAUGCAGUCCAAAAUGGGUGGUAAAUUUCAUCUAAAGCUAAAUAUUGGCGAGAGACCGAUAGCGAACAAGUACCGUGAGGGAAAGAUGAAAAGAACUUUGAAAAGAGAGUUAAACAGUACGUGAAAUUGUCAAAAGGGAAGCGUUUGACACCAGUGUUGUUUUCUCGAAAAUCAAUUAAAAAAAGUUGGAUUUUGUGUUUGUAUGACCUUAACAGCUUCUUUCACUUUUUUCCUGCUUUUUUUAAUGCACUUUUCGUUUAACAAGUCAACAUCAGUUUCUUUUGUUGUAAAAAGGUCAUUGGAAGGUGGCUUUCUUUUCGGAGAAAGUGUUUAUAGCCCUUGACUCCUGCAAUCGGAGAGACUGAGGUCUGCAGCGUAGAUCCUUCGGGGUUAGAUACAUUUGUGCUAAGUUAUAGCUUUUCAUAGACAACUUGUUGACUAUGUUUAGUCAUGUAGCUUACUCGCUUAUGCUAUUUUACCUACGCUUAGGAUGUUGA